rnacentral:rRNA from 1 species
CGAAGCGUGCGAUUGGAUUGCACGUCUAAGCAGUAAGGCUGAGUAUUAGGCAAAUCCGGUACUCGUUAAGGCUGAGCUGUGAUGGGGAGAAGACAUUGUGUCUUCGAGUCGUUGAUUUCACACUGCCGAGAAAAGCCUCUAGAUAGAAAAUAGGUGCCCGUACCGCAAACCGACACAGGUAGUCAAGAUGAGAAUUCUAAGGUGAGCGAGCGAACUCUCGUUAAGGAACUCGGCAAAAUGACCCCGUAACUUCGGGAGAAGGGGUGCUCUUUAGGGUUAACGCCCAGAAGAGCCGCAGUGAAUAGGCCCAAGCGACUGUUUAUCAAAAACACAGGUCUCUGCUAAACCGUAAGGUGAUGUAUAGGGGCUGACGCCUGCCCGGUGCUGGAAGGUUAAGAGGAGUGGUUAGCUUCUGCGAAGCUACGAAUCGAAGCCCCAGUAAACGGCGGCCGUAACUAUAACGGUCCUAAGGUAGCGAAAUUCCUUGUCGGGUAAGUUCCGACCCGCACGAAAGGCGUAACGAUUUGGGCACUGUCUCAACGAGAGACUCGGUGAAAUCAUAGUACCUGUGAAGAUGCAGGUUACCCGCGACAGGACGGAAAGACCCCGUGGAGCUUUACUGUAGCCUGAUAUUGAAAUUCGGCACAGCUUGUACAGGAUAGGUAGGAGCCUUUGAAACGUGAGCGCUAGCUUACGUGGAGGCGCUGGUGGGAUACUACCCUAGCUG